ACGAUGAACCAGGCAGCCGCGGCGCCCCGCGUCCGUAUGUACGCGCGGGUGUCGAGGAAAGUCCGGGCUCCGCAGGGCACGAUGCCGGGUAACACCCGGGCGUUUUUUCCGGCCGCCUUCGGCGAUCGGGAAGGGCGACAGACAGCGCAACAGAAAGUAUACCGUCCGGUUGUCCGGCCGCCUCCGGGCGGUCAGGCUUCCGGAUAAGGGUGAAAAGGUGUGGGUAAGAGCCCACCGCGGCGGCGGCGACGCCGCCGGCACGGCAAGCCUCAUCGGGAGCAAAGUCAAGCAGCGGUCAUGCGGGGGCGCUUCGGCGGCCCCCGGGAAAAACGGCCCGUUUAAGACCGCGGGUAGACUGCACAGACACUCUCCGCAAGGAAAGCGCCAGACAGAUGGCUGCCGGGCGGCGUUCCGCAGGGAACAACGCCGGCACAGAACCCGGCUUAUGGUUCAUCGUUUUU
rnacentral:RNase_P_RNA from 1 species